rnacentral:rRNA from 1 species
GGGUUGUGAGGUUAAGCGACUAAGCGUACACGGUGGAUGCCCUGGCAGUCAGAGGCGAUGAAGGACGUGCUAAUCUGCGAUAAGCGUCGGUAAGGUGAUAUGAACCGUUAUAACCGGCGAUUUCCGAAUGGGGAAACCCAGUGCAAUUCGUUGCACUAUCGUUAAGUGAAUACAUAGCUUAACGAAGCGAACCGGGGGAACUGAAACAUCUAAGUACCCCGAGGAAAAGAAAUCAACCGAGAUUCCCCCAGUAGCGGCGAGCGAACGGGGAGCAGCCCAGAGUCUGAAUCAGCAUGUGUGUUAGUGGAAGCGUCUGGAAAGUCGCACGAUACAGGGUGAAAGUCCCGUACACCAAAAUGCACAUGUUGUGAACUCGAAGAGUAGGGCGGGACACGUGGUAUCCUGUCUGAAUAUGGGGGGACCAUCCUCCAAGGCUAAAUACUCCUGACUGACCGAUAGUGAACCAGUACCGUGAGGGAAAGGCGAAAAGAACCCCGGCGAGGGGAGUGAAAAAGAACCUGAAACCGUGUACGUACAAGCAGUGGGAGCCUCUUUAUGGGGUGACUGCGUACCUUUUGUAUAAUGGGUCAGCGACUUAUAUUCUGUAGCAAGGUUAACCGAAUAGGGGAGCCGAAGGGAAACCGAGUCUUAACUGGGCGUUAAGUUGCAGGGUAUAGACCCGAAACCCGGUGAUCUAGCCAUGGGCAGGUUGAAGGUUGGGUAACACUAACUGGAGGACCGAACCGACUAAUGUUGAAAAAUUAGCGGAUGACCUGUGGCUGGGGGUGAAAGGCCAAUCAAACCGGGAGAUAGCUGGUUCUCCCCGAAAGCUAUUUAGGUAGCGCCUCGUGAAUUCAUCUUCGGGGGUAGAGCACUGUUUCGGCUAGGGGGUCAUCCCGACUUACCAACCCGAUGCAAACUACGAAUACCGAAGAAUGUUAUCACGGGAGACACACGGCGGGUGCUAACGUCCGUCGUGAAGAGGGAAACAACCCAGACCGCCAGCUAAGGUCCCAAAGUCACAGUUAAGUGGGAAACGAUGUGGGAAGGCUCAGACAGCCAGGAUGUUGGCUUAGAAGCAGCCAUCAUUUAAAGAAAGCGUAAUAGCUCACUGGUCGAGUCGGCCUGCGCGGAAGAUGUAACGGGGCUAAACUGUGCACCGAAGCUGCGGCAGCGACACUAUGUGUUGUUGGGUAGGGGAGCGUUCUGUAAGCCGUUGAAGGUGUGUCGUGAGGCAUGCUGGAGGUAUCAGAAGUGCGAAUGCUGACAUAAGUAACGAUAAAGCGGGUGAAAAACCCGCUCGCCGGAAGACCAAGGGUUCCUGUCCAACGUUAAUCGGGGCAGGGUGAGUCGACCCCUAAGGCGAGGCCGAAAGGCGUAGUCGAUGGGAAACAGGUUAAUAUUCCUGUACUUGGUGUUACUGCGAAGGGGGGACGGAGAAGGCUAUGUUGGCCGGGCGACGGUUGUCCCGGUUUAAGCGUGUAGGUUUGCAGACCAGGUAAAUCCGGUCUGCUUCAAGACUGAGACGUGAUGACGAGGCACUACGGUGCUGAAGUAACAAAUGCCCUGCUUCCAGGAAAAGCCUCUAAGCAUCAGGUAACAC